rnacentral:tRNA from 1 species
UCCCGUGUGGCUCAGUUGGUAGAGCAUUGGUGUUUGCAAUGCCAGGGUUGUGGGUUCGAUUCCCACGGGGGGGG